rnacentral:tRNA from 1 species
GUAGCGCAAUGGAUAGCGCGUUGGAUUUCUAAUUUAAAGGUCGUGGGAUCGAAUACCACCUCA